GGAGUCCAAGGAACAUACACACUGUUGGGCACACACGCAGGCUUGAUAGAGGAGGUUCACCCGGGGGACUUCUUUGGCAGAGGCACACAGCCUAGUUCUGGCUCUUGAAGAGCCCAUAUUCUACAGGAGAAGCAGAGAGGCCCAUAACCAUCUAAGCUAGAAUUGAGUGUAAAUGAGUGUGCCAGUGACGGCGGCGGCUGCCAGGGCCAGUGCUGAAUACGGCUGGCAGUUCUUGCUGCAGAUGUCAAGCUGGCCAGAAGCUGAGGAGGACGGCAGAGGGUGUGAAGGUCACAGUUCCGGCUGCCUGUUUACUGAUCUGGCACCGUGCAACUUCUGGCUCUUUGCCAAACUCCAAAUGUCACGAGAGGCAACAUUCUGCCAGGACAGAGCAAUCAGAGACGUGGAAGAGAACUUCUCUGUCCAUGACUGUGCGGUGGUGAAUGGAGGCUGCCCGCAGCGCGGUAGUAACACUCUGCGCACCUUCCGCUGUGAGCGUGAUGCAGGAUGCGGACGCCGUGCUGCCGAACACACCUGCAGAAACAACAGAAAUCUUUAG
ensembl:lincRNA